ACCCACCUUGGCCUCCCAAAGUGCUGGGAUUACAGGCAUGAGCCACCGCGCCCGCCACCUUGAUUAUUGUUUAAAUAAAAGAUGAAUAAAAGUACAUUCUUAUUUUAGAUUAUAAUGUGGCCCAGUGUAUACAUUUCACUUAGUGUAGCACAUCACAUUGUUCUUAUUAAAACUAUUUCUAGUUUUACACCAGCUCAGAUUUUUAAAUAUUCAUUGCUUUUUUCUACUUCUUCUCAGGCAUUGCAGUCAACUGUUCUUAAAUAGCAGUCAGUUGUUCUAG
rnacentral:lncRNA from 1 species